rnacentral:tRNA from 1 species
UCCCUGGUGACUUAGGUGGUAAAGAAUCUGCUUGCAAUGCAGGAGACCCAGGUUCAAUCCCGGGGUAGGGAA